AAUUUCCUACGGGGCGCAGCAGUAGGGAAUAUUGCUCAAUGGGGGAAACCCUGAAGCAGCAACGCCGCGUGGAGGAUGAAGGUCUUCGGAUUGUAAACCUCUGUCCUCUGUGAAGAUGAUGACGGUAGCAGAGGAGGAAGCUCCGGCUAACUACGUGCCAGCAGCCGCGGUAAUACGUAGGGAGCGAGCGUUGUCCGGAUCUACUGGGUGUAAAGGGUGCGUAGGCGGCUUGGCAAGUCAGUAGUGAAAUCCAUGGGCUUAACCCAUGAACUGCUAUUGAAACUGUCGAGCUUGAGUGAAGUAGG
rnacentral:rRNA from 1 species